GUGCAACAAAAUACAUGAACCCUAUCCAUUUUAAAUUUUUUCUAUCUCUAUUCAUCUUCUUCUUCUCAAACCGGGCAAAUUUUCUAAAACGCAAUACAACAAGGGAAGAAGCUGACAACAAGAAAAGAGCGAAAUGGAUAAGAAGGAGCAAAUAAAACAAGAAACACAUGUGAAGCAAUCUAUAUCCGGAGGUACACUGAGCUAUUAUAAUAUUUUAAUAAUAAUAUUUUAAAUAAUAAACGCAAACACAACUAUUAUAAUAAAUAAUUAAACGUUGGAUUAUAUAUACACUUAACACUAAAGUGUAUACAAAUUGGAUUAGUGAUGUGUGCGUUUACGUAUAAGCUUAUGCAUGAAUGGAAUCAAAAGGAAACUACUACGAUUUAGUCUUCAUGCGUGUCCGUGAGACCGUCGUAUGGUUAAAGUUGGUAAACUAGGCAUGGCUCAUAACUUUGUUAAGUCGCCACGAAUAUGUGCCAUAUUAUAUAUUUAUAUAUAUAUAUAAGUGCGAUCUAGUUGGAUUUCAUAUUAUAUAUCGUUGAAUUAUAAACAUCAUCGAAAUAUUAGAUUCCUUUCACGCACAAGCUUUCUUGGAAAUAAAUCUCAAUCCUUCUUGGCUUCACUUCGAGCCGGACCUAAGCACAUCCAUAUGAAAUGUUUUGAUGGGUUUUCACUUCAUAAGCUCCACUCUCAAAUAAAAAAUUAAUUAGAUAUAUAUUAGUAUAUUUAAAACUAUCAUUAGUAAAAUAAUCAGCUAUAGCCACAAUUUAUUUCAUGGCUAUAGAUCAAUUUUUGUGGUUGUAUGCAGGUGGCUAUAUGUAGGUUUAGCCACGAAAAAUCACGAAGACUUUGAUGUACGUUCGUAUCUAUUUUAAAUUGUGGGUAUCGUGGCCAAAAACCCUGAUUUUCCAUGACACAUUCGUGACUAUAUACGGCUGUCAUGAAUAUUUUGUGGCUAUUCUAGUCACGUUUUGCCACUAUAAUUUUCGUGGAUGAUUAGUUAUGAAAAUGACACAAUUUUUUUUAUUUUGUGUGUAAUGAGUUUUUAGCCAUGAAAAUGAUGUGACCAUUGCGUGGCUUAUGUAUAACUAAGUUUUUUUGCCAUGAUAUAUUUUGUGAUUUUGGAUGAUAAAUGAAAAGUAUAUAUAUAUAUAUUAAAAGCCAAAAUUAUAUAGUAUAAUAUAUUUUUUUGAAACAGAAAUUGAAAUGAAACUAUACAUUGUUCCAAAAUUCAAAUAGAAGCAACUAAAGUUUUUGAUCAUGACACAACAAUAAUAACAUCUAAAAUCUGUGAGCUAAAUCUAAUUUAAUUUCCUUAACACACUACCUAUCCAACAGAUUGUUAAUUUGUGGUGCGAGUUGAUUUGAUGUGAGCUUGAAAAGAAGCUUGAGGCUGACCUUGAGUUUCAGGUUGAAGCAGUGUUGUCGGUGCAGUUGAGGCAAGAAAAAACAGAAGCUGGAGAGCUGGAGAGCUUGCAAAAAUCAAUUACAAGGCAUCAUCUCGAUUCUCGAAUUUCAUCAGCUACAGAGAGAGGAUUUAACUUGUGUCCAGAACUUUUUGAAAAAAAAGAAGAAGAUAAUAAC
rnacentral:lncRNA from 1 species